rnacentral:rRNA from 1 species
CACGGGGGGAGCAAGCGUUGUUCGGAAUCACUGGGCGUAAAGGGCUCGUAGGCGGCCAACUAAGUCGGACGUGAAAUCCCUCGGCUUAACCGGGGAACUGCUUCCGAUACUGGAUGGCUUGAGUGUGGGAGAGGGAUGCGGAAUUCCAGGUGUAGCGGUGAAAUGCGUAGAUAUCUGGAGGAACACCGGUGGCGAAGGCGGCAUCCUGGACCAUUACUGACGCUGAGUGAGCGAAAGCCAGGGGAGCAAACGGG